rnacentral:rRNA from 1 species
AGUGAACCUGCGGAAGGAUAU